UUUCCUUUUUUGAUUUUACUCUUAAAAUCAAUGCUUAUACAAAAGGAGUGUUUGGUGACUCACGCAACGUCUGAGAUAUAUCCAAUUUUCUAACCGGCGGACAUGAUUUUCACUCCCCCUCCCAGCUUCAUCCAAGAUCAAUAAAUCCAGCAUUGAUGCGUUUCUACUAGCACCAUUAUGUUUAAUCCGUUGUCCGUAAUCAAUUUGCUAUUUACUCUAGCCAUUGAAUUCAAAUGAAAGUUGGAUUUCGCUGUAACUCCCUUCGUACUAUAAAGUGAAUUCUAAUCGACUCCGUCGUGCAAUAGUUUUAUAUCAAUCAAUACCCUAGAAAUAGAACUGUACAGAUUAAUGCCCAUGCAAACAAAUCUAUAUGAGAUGCCCAUUCUCAUCCACCAUUGCUCAUCAUCAGUCCGCCCUGCGAAAUUACGAAGCAUCAGAGGAUAAAUAAGUCCCUCAAAAGUCAAGAGGAAGGAAUUCGAGUUCUGAUGGCUAUGAUGUUGGUCAACUAAAACCUGCUUCGGAGGAAGUCCUCUCUUAGCUCCCAGGUAAAAAUGUUGUGAGUCUACGCAUAAGACUAUAAAGAGGAAACGUAGCUCUUAGUAGUGAUCAUCCGAUUAGGAUUCGGACUAUGGCUGUUGCCGGAAGAGUGGAACUGGUAACAAGAAUAGAUGACCAAGGUGCAUAUAUUUUCGGGGCUGCAGUUCAAGGAAAGAAGUGGAUGCGUGCUUCGAGGAAGGAAUGCGCAUUCCCAGAUGGCCCUAGCGACUUGGCUAUGAACAUUUAAAGCUUGCCAAUAACAUAUCGGCGAAUGAUUGCAAAUCCUGGCAGUAGGAAGGUUCCUUUACUCUCUUUUUUUUGAUCCUUUUUUUUUGUUAAAUAUAUUAUGAAAUGGGUAUAUUUUUCUGUUGUUUGAUUGUACUGGUGAUUUCAAUUUUAACUUUACUGCUACAAUUUGAUUUUGAUGUUAGAUUUCAACGAUAGUUUGGCACAUACUGAAGUUAAGGAAUAAGGUACGAAUUUUAUUGUAAUGUCCUUCUUCGUACAUAUGUUGUGGUUUUGGUUAUCGUACUCGGAUUUCAGGUCAGUCAGGCUUCCAGUAUUCUUUCCAUAAAUUUCAUGAGAGGGGUCACAUUCGUGGGCAUCCAUAGAAAAGUAACAUAGGUUUGGCUUCACCAAGCCGGUCGGUGUUAGCAACUUACGCUGAAAGAACCGCCAACAUUGCCAUGCCUGUUUAUCAGGUGAGCCAUAUGUGUUAAUUAUUGAUCAUGAUACCUACUACUCCAUAUUGCUCUUUGUCGUCUAUAUCAGUGCAGUUUGUCCGAGAUAAAGAGAGAGAAUGGAGAGUGGUGGUGUACCUUUAGUCCACUCUGAGCUCAAGCAAGGCAUGCUCAUUUAGGUAUGCAAACAGUUGAAAACAAUCUUGAAGGAUCUAAAAGAACGAAGUUGCCAGUCCUGAAAGCAAUACAAGCGGGUAUGGACACUCUCGUAGAACCUUUUUGGAGCAGACACCUGAUGGAACUAUGGCGCGCUGAUGGGUAGCCUGAUCAUGUCCCUCCCUCUUCAGAAUUCUGUAAGGAAAAUUAUUUUGUGACUUGGAAGUAUAACGAUAGGCCUGCAAGUAAACCUAUCAACACGAGUGCUCCUGAACUUCUAUCAAAACUAAUUACCCGGUUUUUUAAUUAAAGGACGAACUGUGGAAGAUUUUUUUUUAGAAACUCAACUUGAUGGACAGCAGUUUGUCGCAAGGUCUUUUCAUUCAUCAAAGUUAACAUGAUUCAACUCAGCGUGUUUUUUAAGUGCUGAUAGGAAUCUUAUAAGUCGGAGUAUCAGGACCAAAAUUAUAUAAUUGAUGAUUUCUCUAUUUCGCCAAGCAAAAUAGGUGGGAUAGAUCAUGUGGCAGCUUAUUUCGAUGCAUCAAGGUGCACUAUUAUUGUUAAAUUCAAGGAAAUGAGACACAU